rnacentral:lncRNA from 1 species
UUCCAUUUGAAGUUUUACUUAUUGGAGUUUCAGGUUUGCAGACUUGUAAUUUUACUUUCUUUACAGAUGUUUUGAGAGAAUGCCAGAUUCCAGUUGGGUCCCAGCUUACCAUCUAAUCUUAACGUUCCCCCUUUCUUUAGCUCUUCGUGCUAUGGAAGUGCUUCCUCUCGCACUACCAUGUCCUCCUCGUCAGUUAUCAGAGUCAGAAAAAAGUCGGAUGGAAGACCAGGAGGAAAACACAUUACGAGAACUGCGGUUGUUCCUCAGGGAUGUUACCAAGAGGCUGGCCACAGAUAAACGCUUUAACAUCUUCAGCAAACCGGUGGAUAUUGAAGAGGUCUUGUUUCAGUAGUGUGCAAACAGUGAAGUUGAACUGGCUAAAAGAAAAAAAAA